AUUGAACGCUGGCGGCAGGCCUAACACAUGCAAGUCGAACGAGUGGCGGACGGGCGAGGAAUGUCUGGGAAACUGCCUGAUGGAGGGGGAUAAAUACUGGAAACGGUAGCUAAUAACGCAUACCAUCGGAUGUGCCCAGAGGGGAUUAGCUAGUAGGUGGGGUAAAGGCUCACCUAGGAGACGAUCCCUAGCUGGUCUGAGAGGAUGACCAGCCACACUGGAACUGAGACACGGUCCACGCUCCGACGGGAGGCAGCAGUGGGGAAUAUUGCAGAAGGGGCGCAAGCCUGAUGCAGCCAUGCCGCGUGUAUGAAGAAGGCCUUCGGGUUGUAAAGUACUUUCAGCGGGGAGGCGUUACCCGAAGAAGAAGCCCCGGCUAACUCCGUGCCAGCAGCCGCGGUAAUUC
rnacentral:rRNA from 1 species